rnacentral:rRNA from 1 species
UGGGGAAUCUUGGACAAUGGGCGCAAGCCUGAUCCAGCCAUGCCGCGUGAGUGACGAAGGUCUUCGGAUUGUAAAGCACUUUAAGUUGGGAGGAAGGGCCAUUACCUAAUACGUGAUGGUUUUGACGUUACCGACAGAAUAAGCACCGGCUAACUCUGUGCCAGCAGCCGCGGUAAUACAGAGGGUGCAAGCGUUAAUCGGAAUUACUGGGCGUAAAGCGCGCGUAGGUGGUUUGUUAAGUUGGAUGUGAAAUCCCCGGGCUCAACCUGGGAACUGCAUUCAAAACUGACUGACUAGAGUAUGGUAGAGGGUGGUGGAAUUUCCUGUGUAGCGGUGAAAUGCGUAGAUAUAGGAAGGAACACCAGUGGCGAAGGCGACCACCUGGACUGAUACUGACACUGAGGUGCGAAAGCGUGGGGAGCAAACAGGAUUAGAUACCCCUGUAGUCCCUGAGCGGGCUGGCAAGGCGCAU